rnacentral:rRNA from 1 species
GAUGAACGCUGGCGGCGUGCCUAAUACAUGCAAGUCGAGCGAACGGACGAGAAGCUUGCUUCUCUGAUGUUAGCGGCGGACGGGUGAGUAACACGUGGAUAACCUACCUAUAAGACUGGGAUAACUUCGGGAAACCGGAGCUAAUACCGGAUAAUAUUUUGAACCGCAUGGUUCAAAAGUGAAAGACGGUCUUGCUGUCACUUAUAGAUGGAUCCGCGCUGCAUUAGCUAGUUGGUAAGGUAACGGCUUACCAAGGCAACGAUGCAUAGCCGACCUGAGAGGGUGAUCGGCCACACUGGAACUGAGACACGGUCCAGACUCCUACGGGAGGCAGCAGUAGGGAAUCUUCCGCAAUGGGCGAAAGCCUGACGGAGCAACGCCGCGUGAGUGAUGAAGGUCUUCGGAUCGUAAAACUCUGUUAUUAGGGAAGAACAUAUGUGUAAGUAACUGUGCACAUCUUGACGGUACCUAAUCAGAAAGCCACGGCUAACUACGUGCCAGCAGCCGCGGUAAUACGUAGGUGGCAAGCGUUAUCCGGAAUUAUUGGGCGUAAAGCGCGCGUAGGCGGUUUUUUAAGUCUGAUGUGAAAGCCCACGGCUCAACCGUGGAGGGUCAUUGGAAACUGGAAAACUUGAGUGCAGAAGAGGAAAGUGGAAUUCCAUGUGUAGCGGUGAAAUGCGCAGAGAUAUGGAGGAACACCAGUGGCGAAGGCGACUUUCUGGUCUGUAACUGACGCUGAUGUGCGAAAGCGUGGGGAUCAAACAGGAUUAGAUACCCUGGUAGUCCACGCCGUAAACGAUGAGUGCUAAGUGUUAGGGGGUUUCCGCCCCUUAGUGCUGCAGCUAACGCAUUAAGCACUCCGCCUGGGGAGUACGACCGCAAGGUUGAAACUCAAAGGAAUUGACGGGGACCCGCACAAGCGGUGGAGCAUGUGGUUUAAUUCGAAGCAACGCGAAGAACCUUACCAAAUCUUGACAUCCUUUGACAACUCUAGAGAUAGAGCUUUCCCCUUCGGGGGACAAAGUGACAGGUGGUGCAUGGUUGUCGUCAGCUCGUGUCGUGAGAUGUUGGGUUAAGUCCCGCAACGAGCGCAACCCUUAAGCUUAGUUGCCAUCAUUAAGUUGGGCACUCUAAGUUGACUGCCUGUGACAAACCGGAGGAAGGUGGGGAUGACGUCAAAUCAUCAUGCCCCUUAUGAUUUGGGCUACACACGUGCUACAAUGGACAAUACAAAGGGCAGCGAAACCGCGAGGUCAAGCAAAUCCCAUAAAGUUGUUCUCAGUUCGGAUUGUAGUCUGCAACUCGACUACAUGAAGCUGGAAUCGCUAGUAAUCGUAGAUCAGCAUGCUACGGUGAAUACGUUCCCGGGUCU